GACGAACGCUGGCGGCGUGCCUAACACAUGCAAGUCGAGCGGUAAGGCCCUUCGGGGUACACGAGCGGCGGACGGCUGAGUAACACGUGGGAACAUACCCCAAAGUGAGGGAUAACGCACCGAAAGGUGUGCUAAUACCGCAUAUGAUCUUCGGAUUAAAGGAUUUAUCCGCUUUGGGAAUGGCCUGCGCACGAUUAGGUAGUUGGUAGGGUAAUGGCCUACCAAGCCGACGAUCUGUAGCUGGUUUGAGAGAACGACCAGCCACACUGGGACUGAGACACGGCCCAGACUCCUACGGGAGGCAGCAGUGAGGAAUAUUGGUCAAUGGGCGCAAGCCUGAACCAGCCAUGCCGCGUGCAGGAUGAAGCAUCUAUGGUGUGUAAACUGCUUUUGUACGGGAAGAAACCCUUGCUUGAGAGCAAGAUUGACGGUACCGUAAGAAUAAGGAUCGGCUAACUCCGUG
rnacentral:rRNA from 1 species